AUUGAACGCUGGCGGCAUGCUUUACACAUGCAAGUCGAACGGCAGCACGGACUUCGGUCUGGUGGCGAGUGGCGAACGGGUGAGUAAUACAUCGGAACGUGCCCAGUUGUGGGGGAUAACUACUCGAAAGAGUAGCUAAUACCGCAUGAGAACUUAGGUUGAAAGCAGGGGAUCGUAAGACCUUGCGCAACUGGAGCGGCCGAUGGCAGAUUAGGGAGUUGGUGGGAUAAAAGCUUACCAAGCCGACUAUCUGUAGCUGGUCUGAGAGGACGACAAGCCACACUGGGACUGGGACACGGCCCAGACUCCUACGGGGGGCAGCAGUGGGGAAUUUUGGACAAUGGGCGAAAGCCUGAUCCAGCAAUGCCGCGUGCAGGAUGAAGGCCUUCGGGUUGUAAACUGCUUUUGUACGGAACGAAAAGCUUCGGGCUAAUACCCAGGGAGUCAUGACGGUACCGUAAGAAUAAGCACCGGCUAACUACGUGCCAGCAGCCGCAGUAACAC
rnacentral:rRNA from 1 species